rnacentral:rRNA from 1 species
GACGAACGCUGGCGGCGUGCUUAACACAUGCAAGUCGAGCGGUAAGGCCCUUUCGGGGGUACACGAGCGGCGAACGGGUGAGUAACACGUGGGUGACCUGCCCUCAGCUCUGGGAUAAGCCCGGGAAACUGGGUCUAAUACUGGAUAUGACUCCAUGACGCAUGUUGUGGGGUGGAAAGCCUUGUGCGGCUGAGGAUGGGCCCGCGGCCUAUCAGCUUGUUGGGGGGUGAUGGCCUACCAAGGCGACGACGGGUAGCCGGCCUGAGAGGGCGACCGGCCACACUGGGACUGAGACACGGCCCAGACUCCUACGGGAGGCAGCAGUGGGGAAUCUUGCGCAAUGGGCGAAAGCCUGACGCAGCGACGCCGCGUGAGGGAUGACGGCC